rnacentral:rRNA from 1 species
AACGAACGCUGGCGGCAGGCCUAACGCAUGCAAGUCGAGCGAGGACUUCGGUCCUAGCGGCGGACGGGUGAGUAACGCGUGGGAACGUGCCCUUUGCUUCGGAAUAGCCCUGGGAAACUGGGAGUAAUACCGGAUGAGCCCUUUGGGGGAAAGAUUUAUCGGCGAAGGAUCGGCCCGCGUUGGAUUAGGUAGUUGGUGGGGUAAUGGCCUACCAAGCCGACGAUCCAUAGCUGGUUUGAGAGGAUGAUCAGCCACACUGGGACUGAGACACGGCCCAGACUCCUACGGGAGGCAGCAGUGGGGAAUCUUAGACAAUGGGGGAAACCCUGAUCUAGCCAUGCCGCGUGAGCGAUGAAGGCCUUAGGGUUGUAAAGCUCUUUCAGCUGGGAAGAUAAUGACGGUACCAGCAGAAGAAGCCCCGGCUAACUCCGU